CUAAGAAUAUUCCGCAAUGGACGGAAGUCUGACGGAGCGACGCCGCGUGGAUGACGAAGGCCGAAAGGUUGUAAAGUUCUUUUGCUGGGGAAGAAUAACCGCAGGAGGGAAUGCCUGUGGGAUGACAAGAACCGGCGAAUAAGCCCCGGCCAACUACGUGCCAGCAGCCGCGGUAACACGUAGGGGGCGAGCGUUGUUCGGAAUUACUGGGCGUAAAGGGCAUGUAGGCGGCUUGGAAAGCCUGGCGUGAAAGUCUGCAGCUUAACUGCAGGGGUGCGCUGGGAACUGCUGAGCUUGAGUGACGGAGAGGGAGCUGGAAUCCCUGGUGUAGGGGUGAAAUCUGUAGAUAUCAGGAAGAACACCGAUGGCGAAGGCAAGCUCCUGGCCGAUGACUGACGCUGAGGUGCGAAAGUGUGGGGAUCAAACAGGAUUAGAUACCCUGGUAGUCCACACAGUCAACGAUGUGCACUAGGUGCUGGGGCGGUAGCUUCGGUGCCGGAGCGAACGUGGUAAGUGCACCGCCUGGGGAGUAUGCUCGCAAGGGUG
rnacentral:rRNA from 1 species